UACGAAGGGUGCAAGCGUUACUCGGAAUUACUGGGCGUAAAGCGUGCGUAGGUGGUUUGUUAAGUCUGAUGUGAAUGCCCUGGGCUCAACCUGGGAAUUGCAUUGGAUACUGGCAGGCUAGAGUGCGGUAGAGGAUGGCGGAAUUCCCGGUGUAGCAGUGAAAUGCGUAGAGAUCGGGAGGAACAUCUGUGGCGAAGGCGGCCAUCUGGACCAGCACUGACACUGAGGCACGAAAGCGUGGGGAGCAAACAGG
rnacentral:rRNA from 1 species